CCUACGGGAGGUAGCAGUCGAGAAUCAUUCACAAUGGGGGAAACCCUGAUGGUGCGACGCCGCGUGGGGGAAUGAAGGUCUUCGGAUUGUAAACCCCUGUCAUGUGGGAGCAAUUUAAAAUGAUAGUACCACAAGAGGAAGAAACGGCUAACUCUGUGACAGCAGCCUCGGUACUACAGAGGUCUCAGGCGGUGUUCGUAAUCACUGGGUGUAAAUCGUGUGUAGGCGGUUUCGUAAGUCGUGUGUGAAACGCGCGGGGUCAAACCGCGGACGGCAGAUGAUACUGCGAGACUAGAGUAAUGGAGAGGGAAGCGGAAUGCGCGGUGUAGCAGUGAAAUGCGUAGAUAUCGAGAGGAACACUCGUUGCGAAGGCGGGUUCCUGGACAUUAACUGACGCUGAGGCACGAAGGCGAGGGGAGCGAAAGGGAUUAGAUACCCGAGUAGUC
rnacentral:rRNA from 1 species